UUGAACUUUGAGGAGUUAGGCAAAAAUAAUGCCAAUAAAUAUUUAGGGAUAAUGUUUACAUUUGGUUGGAAAUUUAAAUAUAAAUUUAAUUUUCGUAUUAAAUAAAAAAAAAAAGAUUGACAAAAAAAAAAUCCAUAAAGUAUAUCUUAAGAUUUUGGAUUAGAGAUAUUAUAAAUGUUUGUCUAUGGAUUUGAUUCAUUGAUGAUGUUUUUAUCUUCGAAAGACCUAUAAGUGGUACUAAAGACAAUGAUUCGUCUC
rnacentral:lncRNA from 1 species